AUCCUGAGGAUUAGCAACGUUGG
rnacentral:snRNA from 1 species